rnacentral:rRNA from 1 species
UCAAGCGAACAAGUGCAUGUGGUGGAUGCCUUGGCGAUCACAGGCGAUGAAGGACGCGGUAGCCUGCGAAAAGCUACGGGGAGCUGGCAAACGAGCUUUGAUCCGUAGAUGUCCGAAUGGGGAAACCCGGCCCUUUUGGGUCAUCCUGGACUGAAUACAUAGGUCCAGUGAAGCGAACGCGGUGAACUGAAACAUCUAAGUAACCGCAGGAAAAGGAAUCAACCGAGAUUCCCAAAGUAGUGGCGAGCGAAAUGGGAUGAGCCUUGCACUCUUUAUUUGUAUUGUUAGCCGAACGCUCUGGAAAGUGCGGCCAUAGCAGGUGAUAGCCCUGUAGGCGAAAACAGUAUGAAAGAACUAGGUGUGCGACAAGUAGGGCGGGACACGUGAAAUCCUGUCUGAAGAUGGGGGGACCAUCCUCCAAGGCUAAAUACUCGUGAUCGACCGAUAGUGAACCAGUACCGUGAGGGAAAGGCGAAAAGAACCCCGGGAGGGGAGUGAAAUAGAUCCUGAAACCGCAUGCAUACAAACAGUCGGAGCCUCGCAAGGGGUGACGGCGUACCUUUUGUAUAAUGGGUCAGCGACUUACGUUCAGUAGCAAGCUUAACCGUAUAGGGCAGGCGUAGCGAAAGCGAGUCCGAAUAGGGCGUUCAGUUGCUGGGCGUAGACCCGAAACCAGGUGAUCUAUCCAUGGCCAGGAUGAAGGUGCGGUAACACGUACUGGAGGUCCGAACCCACUAACGUUGAAAAGUUAGGGGAUGAGCUGUGGAUAGGGGUGAAAGGCUAAACAAACCUGGAAAUAGCUGGUUCUCUCCGAAAACUAUUUAGGUAGUGCCUCGUGUCUCACCUUCGGGGGUAGAGCACUGUCAUGGUUGGGGGGUCUAUUGCAGAUUACCCCGCCAUAGCAAACUCCGAAUACCGAAGAGUGCAAUCACGGGAGACAGACAUCGGGUGCUAACGUCCGGUGUCAAGAGGGAAACAACCCAGACCGCCAGCUAAGGUCCCCAAAUAUAGCUAAGUGGGAAACGAAGUGGGAAGGCUAAAACAGUCAGGAGGUUGGCUUAGAAGCAGCCACCCUUUAAAGAAAGCGUAAUAGCUCACUGAUCGAGUCGUCCUGCGCGGAAGAUGUAACGGGGCUAAGCUAUAUACCGAAGCUGCGGAUGCGAGCUUGCUCGCAUGGUAGGAGAGCGUUCCGUAAGCCUGCGAAGGUGCCUUGUAAAGGGUGCUGGAGGUAUCGGAAGUGCGAAUGCUGACAUGAGUAGCGAUAAAGGGGGUGAAAGGCCCCCUCGCCGUAAGCCCAAGGUUUCCUACGCAACGUUCAUCGGCGUAGGGUGAGUCGGCCCCUAAGGCGAGGCAGAAAUGCGUAGCUGAUGGGAAGCAGGUCAAUAUUCCUGCACCAUUGUUAGAUGCGAUGGGGGGACGGAUCGCGGAAGGUUGUCCGGGUGUUGGAAGUCCCGGUCGCUGCAUUGGAGAAGGCGCUUAGGCAAAUCCGGGCGCGCAAUUCAAGGGUGUGGCGCGAGCUCCUUAGGGAGCGAAGCAAUUGGAAGUGGUUCCAAGAAAAGCCUCUAAGCUUCAGUCUAACGAUGACCGUACCGCAAACCGACACAGGUGGGCGAGAUGAGUAUUCUAAGGCGCUUGAGAGAACUCGGGAGAAGGAACUCGGCAAAUUGGUACCGUAACUUCGGGAUAAGGUACGCCCUUGUAGCUUGACUGGCCUGCGCCAGGAGGGUGAAGGGGUUGCAAUAAACUGGUGGCUGCGACUGUUUAAUAAAAACACAGCACUCUGCAAACACGAAAGUGGACGUAUAGGGUGUGACGCCUGCCCGGUGCCGGAAGAUUAAAUGAUGGGGUGCAAGCUCUUGAUUGAAGUCCCGGUAAACGGCGGCCGUAACUAUAACGGUCCUAAGGUAGCGAAAUUCCUUGUCGGGUAAGUUCCGACCUGCACGAAUGGCGUAACGAUGGCCACACUGUCUCCUCCCGAGACUCAGCGAAGUUGAAGUGUUUGUGAUGAUGCAAUCUACCCGCGGCUAGACGGAAAGACCCCAUGAACCUUUACUGUAGCUUUGCAUUGGACUUUGAACCGAUCUGUGUAGGAUAGGUGGGAGGCUAUGAAACCGGAACGCUAGUUUCGGUGGAGCCGUCCUUGAAAUACCACCCUGGUUUGUUUGAGGUUCUAACCUUGGCCCGUGAUCCGGGUCGGGGACAGUGCAUGGUAGGCAGUUUGACUGGGGCGGUCUCCUCCCAAAGCGUAACGGAGGAGUACGAAGGUACGCUAGGUACGGUCGGAAAUCGUGCUGAUAGUGCAAUGGCAUAAGCGUGCUUAACUGCGAGACCGACAAGUCGAGCAGGUGCGAAAGCAGGUCAUAGUGAUCCGGUGGUUCUGUAUGGAAGGGCCAUCGCUCAACGGAUAAAAGGUACUCUGGGGAUAACAGGCUGAUACCGCCCAAGAGUUCAUAUCGACGGCGGUGUUUGGCACCUCGAUGUCGGCUCAUCUCAUCCUGGGGCUGUAGCCGGUCCCAAGGGUAUGGCUGUUCGCCAUUUAAAGAGGUACGUGAGCUGGGUUUAAAACGUCGUGAGACAGUUUGGUCCCUAUCUGCCGUGGGCGUUGGAUAUUUGAAGGGGGCUGCUCCUAGUACGAGAGGACCGGAGUGGACGAACCUCUGGUGUACCGGUUGUCACGCCAGUGGCAUCGCCGGGUAGCUAUGUUCGGAAGAGAUAACCGCUGAAAGCAUCUAAGCGGGAAACUCGCCUUAAGAUGAGAUAUCCCUGGGGACUAGAUCCCCUUGAAGGGUCGUUCGAGACCAGGACGUUGAUAGGUCAGGUGUGUAAGCGCAGUAAUGCGUUCAGCUAACUGAUACUAAUUGCCCGUAAGGCUUGAUCC